CUAACACAUGCAAGUCGCACGGCUCCUUCGGGGGCAGUGGCGGACGGGUGAGUAACGCGUGGGAACCUGCCCUGGAGUUCGGAACAACCGUGGGAAACUGCGGCUAAUACCGGAUACGCCCCGAGGGGGAAAGGAGCGAUCCGCUCCGGGAUGGGCCCGCGUCCGAUUAGCUAGUUGGUGAGGUAACGGCUCACCAAGGCUGCGAUCUUGUAGCUGGUCUGAGAGGAUGAUCAGCCACACUGGGACUGAGACACGGCCCAGACUCCUACGGGAGGCAGCAGUGGGGAAUCUUGGACAAUGGGCGCAAGCCUGAUCCAGCGACGCCGCGUGGGUGAUGAAGGCCUUCGGGUUGUAAAGCCCUUUUCCCGGGGACGAUGAUGACGGUACCCGGGGAAUAAGCACCGGCUAA
rnacentral:rRNA from 1 species